CGCAGCCGCGGGAAUACGAAGGGUGCAAGCGUUAAUCGGAAUUACUGGGCGUAAAGAGCGUGUAGGCGGCCUGGGGCGUCCCAUGUGAAAGGCCACGGCUCAACCGUGGAGGAGCGUGGGAUACGCUCAGGCUAGAGGGUGGGAGAGGGUGGUGGAAUUCCCGGAGUAGCGGUGAAAUGCGCAGAUACCGGGAGGAACGCCGAUGGCGAAGGCAGCCACCUGGUCCACUUCUGACGCUGAGGCGCGAAAGCGUGGGGAGCAAACCGGAUUAGAUACCCGCGUAGUCCCUGUCUCUUAUACA
rnacentral:rRNA from 1 species